rnacentral:rRNA from 1 species
UACGUAGGGGGCAAGCGUUGUCCGGAUUUAUUGGGCGUAAAGAGCGUGUAGGCGGCUAGGCAGGUCCGUUGUGAAAACUCGAGGCUCAACCUCGAGACGUCGAUGGAAACCAUCUAGCUAGAGUCCGGAAGAGGAGAGUGGAAUUCCUGGUGUAGCGGUGAAAUGCGCAGAUAUCAGGAAGAACACCCGUGGCUAAGGCGGCUCUCUAGUACGGUACUGACGCUGAGACGCGAAAGCGUGGGGAGCGAACAGG